rnacentral:rRNA from 1 species
AUACAUGCAAGUCGAGCGGACAGAUGGGAGCUUGCUCCCUGAAGUCAGCGGCGGACGGGUGAGUAACACGUGGGCAACCUGCCUGUAAGACUGGGAUAACUCCGGGAAACCGGGGCUAAUACCGGAUAAUUCUUUCCCUCACAUGAGGGAAAGCUGAAAGAUGGUUUCGGCUAUCACUUACAGAUGGGCCCGCGGCGCAUUAGCUAGUUGGUGAGGUAACGGCUCACCAAGGCAACGAUGCGUAGCCGACCUGAGAGGGUGAUCGGCCACACUGGGACUGAGACACGGCCCAGACUCCUACGGGAGGCAGCAGUAGGGAAUCUUCCGCAAUGGACGAAAGUCUGACGGAGCAACGCCGCGUGAGUGAUGAAGGUUUUCGGAUCGUAAAACUCUGUUGUUAGGGAAGAACAAGUACCGGAGUAACUGCCGGUACCUUGACGGUACCUAACCAGAAAGCCACGGCUAACUACGUGCCAGCAGCCGCGGUAAUACGUAGGUGGCAAGCGUUGUCCGGAAUUAUUGGGCGUAAAGCGCGCGCAGGCGGUUCCUUAAGUCUGAUGUGAAAGCCCCCGGCUCAACCGGGGAGGGUCAUUGGAAACUGGGGAACUUGAGUGCAGAAGAGAAAGAGU